GAGGCACUUCAGCUGGGAUAUCAGUUGCAUCACCUUUUCAGAGGAGCCCUUCAAAAUUCCUUCGGGACAAUUCAGGGAAACUUGCCAGGAGGGGAAAAAAAAAAAAAAAAGAAGGCUGGUAGCAAACACUUAUUCAAAUACUGGCAAAACAUCUGUGAAACAAAUCUUUAGCUGGAAAGAAAAAAGACACAUCCUUUAGAGUGAAGAUGAAGUGACUGUGGACAGGAAUGAAGUACAAUCACAGUUUACAUGUGCUAAAACAGCAUCCAAAUGCACCAAAAUGAGGUUAAAGCAUUUUAGCAUGUACUUAUGCUCUCAAGACUAUGUCAAGAGAUAAGACAAAGGAACAAUGGGAAGGCAUGAAAAAACUUGCCCAAACUUACACAAGUUACUGGAAGAAAAGCACAUCGAACCACAUCUCCAGAUUCUCAGCCUGCCAUGUUAACUAGGAAAGAAUACUGCUUCCCGUUUAACACUUACUUUCUGUAAAUGUUGUAUUUAAUUUCUCUAUCUUUCUGUCAACAAAUAGUAAAUGACAUAUUGUUCAUAGGAAAUUAUAAAGUAUAUUGUGUACUUUAAGUAUACAUAAUCUACAGAAGUACAUUAAACAUCAUAAUUUAGUGUUUGCCAUUUAGUUCAGUACUUCCAAGAAACAGAGAAAGUGGUUUACAGCUAAGCAGAAAUUCAUCAGAGUUUAACUUCCCUCUGAAAGAAAAAUAUUUCUGUUUCCCUUCCUAAAUACACUUCUCUCACUAUUAUGUUUCAUUCAGCUCAGCUUCUGAGUUUAUUGGUUGCCUGGAUUGGAAGUUUUGAACUAAGUUCUGAGAAGAUAGAUUCAGAAUUACAAAGCAGUGCCAUACCAGCUUCAUGUAAACUGCACUCACAGGAAUCCUUGAAGAGUUUACAUUUUCCAUACAUUCAAAAUAAUUAUAACAAUAGAAAAAAAAUAAAAUCAGAACCCAUCCUCCCCCACAUAUUUUAUUUUUUUUUAAUUAUGAUAUGAACAAAUACCGCACUGUGGUUACACCUAAACCCUUUCCUGGUAAGGAUUGGUCAUGCCUGAUGUUUCUAAUUAACAACAUUCUUUCCAUAACUUUUUUUUUUUGUGUGUGAAAAUUCAUGAAAGUCUUAAAUCAACAGUCUCUAGUCUUAACUACAACAUGGAUUUGAUUUUGUUCUGUCAUGCUAUAAAGAUUGGCAAGUGACUCUAAGAACAAAUCUGUAGCGAUAAAUUUUCUUUCAACAACCAGUACUGCAAGGGUACCCAUAAAUGAGAAGUUUUCCUUGUCAGAGGUAGACAUUUCUUCUUAUGACAGUUAUCUCUCAUUUUAAAAUACUUAAAAAUUGUAUUUUGAAGCUAUAAUUUAAAUGGGUAGAGGUUGUUUUUUUGUUUGUUUUUUUGUUUUGUUUUGUUUUUUAAAAAGGUUGAAGAUAAAAAACACACAGUUUAAUUGAGUUCAUUGACUAGCUUCCACUGCUAGGCACUAUCACAUAACUUUUUCGAAAGACUUAUAAUAAUGAGAGUUUCAUUAUAAAAGGUUCAAAAGACAUAACCAAAAUGGAUAUACUUUUAUGAUAACAAGACAUAUUGUCAUUAACUAUAAACAAUGUCAAUAAAAGCAGUAUCUCAGCCAUGUAAAUUCAGAAUGUAUACAUUUCUUAAAUUUUACUUACCAGAAACUGAUUUCCACAGCACAUUUUAAUUACUGUUAUUGCAAAAUGUAAAAUUAUUUUGUGCCAGUUCUUUUUUUUUCAAAUUCAGUUCUUCUGAUUCAGUAUUUUUAAAAAUUUGUAUUUAUAUAAAAUAUUACAUAAUAACUUGCAGUGCAGUAUUCUUUUCUGAGCUUCUCUACAGCAGAAGAUACCCCUUCAGAAUUUUAAAGAAAUGUGUGUUAUCCUUGCAGCUUCAACAUAAGCCAGAGAGGGCUAAAUUUUUAAGAGAAAUAAAACCAAGAAAUGCAUUUAGAAACAUUAAUGGUUUUAUGAAUGGCAUAAAAUCAACAGGAAAAGAAGCUGCAGUGAGUUUAAGUAACACUAGGAGUUCCCUGAAAAAUGUCUAAAAUUGUAGAAUCCAUAAUAUUCAAUUUUCAGCCAUUUUGAAAAUUAUCCUUCAAACUUUUGUGAUUGUGAGCAAUCCUUACUUAUUUGAGUAAAGCCAUUCAUGUUAAUAGCCAUAUGCACAUGUAUAAGGAUUUACAAGAUCAGGGCCCAACAUGACAACUGGUUAUCCUCUCUGUAACCCCAAAUAUAAAAAAAAAAUACUGUUGUGCAACACUUAGUAUAGCCCGAAUGAAUUCACAUGUUUUGUUUAGUUUUGUUUGGUUGGUUUUUUUUGUUUGUUUGUUUUUUGUUUAUUUUUGUCUGAUUUCAGUGGGAACAGUUAGGCCUUAAAAAACAGAAACAAAAAGAUUAAAAAAAUUACAUCAAAGAAAGCUGAAGUAAACACAAUAUGUUUCGAUAACAAUUAUCAACUUCCAAAAGCUGAAACGUACUCAGAUUACCGGAGAAAAUAUCCAGUGUCUCACUUUAGAGUUGCUACGCGAAGAGAGCUAUUGGUAAAGUACAUGGUUAAUUACUGUCAAAAAAAAAAAAAAAAAGUAAUUUUUUUUUUUGAGUAAAAGUAAGGUUGUUUUGUUUUGUUUUGUUUUAAGUAAGUUGGUGUCUUGUUUUGUUUUUUUUAAGAAAGUUUUUUUUAAGAAAAGCUUUUUUUGAGUUUUUAGUGAUUUUGUUCAUUUGUGGUCAAUUAUUUUUGGAUUCUGGUUUGCCCAUUUUAUACAAGUUGUGCCUUAUUUUUGUAUACAAAAUUAAAAAAUUAUA